AGAGUUUGAUUAUGGCUCAGGAUGAACGCUGGCGGCGUGCUUAACACAUGCAAGUCGAACGAAGCAGCUUUCUUGCUUGCAAGAAAGCUGACUUAGUGGCGGACGGGUGAGUAACGCGUGGGUAACCUGCCUCAUACAGGGGGAUAACAGUUGGAAACGACUGCUAAGACCGCAUAACCCGCUAGUGUCGCAUGACACGGACGGAAAAAUAUUUAAUUUUAACGAGUUAAAAUUUGGUAUGAGAUGGGCCCGCGUCUGAUUAGCUAGUUGGUAAGGUAACGGCUUACCAAGGCGACGAUCAGUAGCCGACUUGAGAGAGUGAUCGGCCACAUUGGGACUGAGACACGGCCCAAACUCCUACGGGAGGCAGCAGUGGGGAAUAUUGGACAAUGGGGGAAACCCUGAUCCAGCGAACCGCCGCGUGAGUGAAGAAGUAUUUCGGUAUGUAAAGCUCUAUCAGCAGGGAAGAUAAUGACAGUACCUGACUAAGAAGCCCCGGCUAACUACGUGCCAGCCGCAGC
rnacentral:rRNA from 1 species